CUCCCAUAACUUUUAGGUGUUGGACUGCCAGGGCUAUGAUAAAAGGUCCAAUCCACUUGGUCUUCUAUAUGCUGCCUCACAUUAUUUUCAAUUAAAUUUGCUUGCAAUAUCUUGUGUAUAGGAGCGAAUUGGUUACCAGUGAUUGGUGAACCAGUGAAAAAAACGUGCAAAUUGUGACACAGGUUUAGUAUAAUAAGUAUAAUAAGUGGAGGAAAAGAAAGUAUUCACACACGACUUGGGGUAUACAAGAAAAUAAAAGCAACUCAAUAAAGGAGGCCGAUUAUGACAUGGAAUUGUUGUGAUACAAUGAAAGUUAUUUUUUUUUUUUUUUUUUAUUGGAGACAGAGCAAACUGUACAGAGUAGGCAACACGAUUGUGUGCAAUUUGAGACCUGUAUUGCUAAGCUGUGUGUAAGUCUGUAAGUGUGUCUGUUAGUGUGUGUGUCUGUUAG